CAGUCGCCGCGGUAAUACGUAGGGUGCGAGCGUUAAUCGGAACUACUGGGCGUAAAGCGUGCGCAGGCGGUUUUGUAAGACAGGCGUGAAAUCCCCGGGCUCAACCUGGGAAUGGCGCUUGUGACUGCAAAGCUAGAGUGCGGCAGAGGGGGAUGGAAUUCCGCGUGUAGCAGUGAAAUGCGUAGAUAUGCGGAGGAACACCGAUGGCGAAGGCAAUCCCCUGGGCCUGCACUGACGCUCAUGCACGAAAGCGUGGGGAGCAAACAGGAUUAGAUACCCCUGUAGUCCCUGUCUCUUAUAA
rnacentral:rRNA from 1 species